GACACACAUGCAUUCACCUCAGCCCAGCAUGAUCGUCAUUACUGUAGUUGCACACGGGAAACAUUCUGAUGCUUGGCAAUGCAAUGCAAAGCACUGUGGCAACAGAGGGAGGGAGGAUGGCAAGAUGUCAUGGUUGGGGCUGAUGAUGCUGCUAUUGAGGAAAGUUGGCUUUCAGUUGGUGUCCAGGUCUCAAGCAUCGUGAUUCAGCAGGGAUUGAGCAUGCAUCGAGAUAACGGCUCCUGUCCCCACAGCUCUGAGGUUUUUCUGAGAGGGAUCAUCUAUGAGAUAACUGACCUCUCCAACUCUCCCACCGAUGCAUGAAGCCUUGUACUCAACUUGCUGCUCAUCCAACAGGAAAAAACAAAUGGAGUGGAAACAGCUGCCACUUGUGACCUACUCUACCUGUUUCUUUGUGUCCAAAUAGUCUCACAGCUGAUUUUGACUGUUAUCCUUCAUCACUUUAUAUAUAUAUGUAUAUGCAUAUAUUUAGACAUCAGUUUUAAGUGUUGCCAUAAACCAACUUACUUGGUAGACAUCAGGUAAAACAUUAUAAUUCUCCAGACAUCAAACCGGUAACUGAAAUUGAAUUCCUGACUUUGUAACACUGUAUUUAUUUAUUCCCGUAUAACUGAAGGGGGAUUCCAUUGAUUUCCAACAUAAGUCUCUUCUCAGGUCUUGAGGAAUGCUUUGUGAAAGAUGUCAGAAAGAAGUGAACUCUGCAACUUGCUCCUAAUCUCUGUCUACAUUUACUACUUAGUUGUUGAAACAGCACUGUAGGUGUUUAGAUGUGUGGUAAGUGCGAAGAGGUUCAUUUCAGCAUCAGUACAAUCUCUGCUUUUUAAAAAACUGUCAAUCAUGUGUUUGUCUUAAAAGAUAAACAAUCCCGAAGGUAGAAUUUUCCAAAUAUCCUCAGUCUGGGUAGUCUUGGCUUGAAGCUAACUGUGCCUGUCAGCUAAAUAUGAUGAAAUUAGACUGACAAGUUUUAAAAAAAAGUUAUAGAACAAAUUAUUUCCAACACAGUUGUAUGAAAACAAGACAGCAAUUUGGCAGGAGAGGUGCAUAAAAUAUAUCAAAGUAUUUAAUUUUGAGAGUGUGUGCUAGUCUGCAUUCUCCUUACGGUCACAUUAGUUAGAAAGUCACAUUUUGGAGCUAUUUUGACUCUGCACUCCAGUUUUGAGACUAUUAAAACCACACCCUGUAUACAGAGGAUGGACAUCAGCCACUGGUUUUUGGAUCUCUGCAGAGCCUGAAGGUACACAGUACUGGGGGAAAGGCUGGAUUAACAUGUCACUAGCUGACUGUGGAGCUUGGAUAGGUGAAUUCAGAAACUAUGGCUGUCACACAGGAGCUGAUAAUAGGGAUACAAUAACUAAAGUACCAAAACACAACUUUUUGGUCUGUGUGUAAGUAUAUCAACCCUAUCAAAGGGUAAAUUAUUUGAAUUGAUGGAGGUGAAGCCUAACAGGCGUCCAAUUUAGAAUCCCUUGGGCAUGGGUGUGAUGAUGAUGAUGAUGAUUCAAACGUUAAGAAAAUUUUCACAGUGAGAAAAAAAGCCACCAUCACAAUUGUUACAAAGGGUGGGACUAGCAAAGGAAACCCAACAGUUCUUUGCAAACCUGGUUAUGGCUGCUGUGAAGCUAGACAUUUUAACGUGACUGUUUGUGAGGAUUUAAUUUAAUUUAAUUUAAUUUAAUUUAAUUUAAUUUAAUUUAAUUUAAUUUAAUUUAAUUUAAUUUAAUGUUUUUAACCCAGUCUGAGGUGGACAAUCAAAGACCCGCAAAUACUGCCACUUUUUUUAUUGGCUUACUCCUAUGAGGUCCAAGUCAAGAAAAGUCGAACUGACUUUUUCUUUUUGGAAAAACAGUAAAUGCUUUAGAUUUGUGCUGGUAACGAUGAUUAUUUCCUUUACUUCCUGUUUGUCAAGAUUUGGGACAAUUUAAAAAUAGCAAAAAUGACAUUCUGAUUUCAAAGGCUCGGGGCUUGGGUUGGGGUCAUCACCAAUUAGAAAUGACACCUUACAGGUUUAAUUUUUCAGCUUUGAACAUUACUGUUAGAUUGAAGAAUACAUAUGGCUGUAUCUCUCACUGACCUCAUUGUAGCAAUAAAUUGUAAAUCAUUUUAAGAUUCUGUUACAACAGAGAAGAAAAAAGUGUGUGAAAUAAAUUCUAGUAAUAUGUGUAGCCUAAAUAAUACAAUGCUUCUAAGCUGGAGGUCUCUUAAGACCUCUUAAGAGGCUGAAUUCAAAGAAAGUAAGAAAUAAAA